rnacentral:rRNA from 1 species
UACGUAGGGUGCGAGCGUUGUCCGGAAUUAUUGGGCGUAAAGGGCUCGUAGGCGGUUUGUCGCGUCGGGAGUGAAAUCCAGGGCUUAACUCUGGACUGGCUUCCGAUACGGGCAGACUAGAGGUAUGCAGGGGAGAACGGAAUUCCUGGUGUAGCGGUGAAAUGCGCAGAUAUCAGGAGGAACACCGGUGGCGAAGGCGGUUCUCUGGGCAUUACCUGACGUGAGGAGCGAAAGUGUGGGGAGCGAACAGG